UGAAGACUUCCUGGUCAAGAUGGCUCCAGAGUAGAAGCAGAGUUCUUCUUCUCUCCACCAAUGGAGACAGAGUGCCUCAAAAUGACAAAACCAAUGUCAAACAAGUGAAGGAGUUCCAUGGUAGGGCACACAGCAGGGAAGAUCUCUGAUUGUUGGUGAAUGCAGAAAUCUGGAUUCCAGCAAGUCCAAGAGACAUUUUCCCUGGAGAAAGUGUUUGGAAACGUAUCUUCUCGACUGAUGUAAAAAUCAUUCUUUGUAGCUGAUGAUAUACUCAAAAUCUACUUGCUAAUAAGCCUGAGAUAUCCCAAAUCUAUUGAUAGCCUGUUCCCUAAAGAUCUUCCAAGCAACUCCAAGCACUCCUGGAUAAUAUGUUGAAAUGUUAGCAAGAAUUCUUCUAAUUUAUUCUAAACAUGUGUGUAAUAAAGAUACUUGUGAAAUAUUAUGUGGCUUGGUUCUUUUUGAUCUUGUUAAAAGUGUUCAUGUCAGCUAAAGGAAAGAUGAUGUGAAA